GGGCGACAUGAUCCAGUAGGCGGUGCUCUACCUGUGCUCUGUGCUCCAGCAUUGUGUCAAUAAUAAGUGGUGCUGUGAAGAGAACAAUUGUCAGACUGAAUGUUGAACAUCAGCUAGUUUCUCCUGCUGAUUUAAACCUUGUUGGACAGAUGGAACAUUGGCUGUGGAUUAUUCUUGCUGCUCUUUUCUUUGAGUGUAAAGGAGACACAGUGAAGCAGCCAGAAGGAGAUGUUGUUGCUGCUGAAGGAGAAUCACGGACUCUGGGAUGUACUUUUGAAACCAGCUCUACAGCACCUACAUUGUUCUGGUACAAAUUGGAGCUCAACAGUUCUCCAAAGUACAUGCUGAAACAAUACUAUCAAUCCAGAGAGAAUGCUCCAGAGUUCAGCAACGACAGAUUUCAAGCAGAGGUUAACAACUCAGCUUUUGAUCUGAAGAUCCAGGAUCUCCAUCUGUCUGACUCUGCUGUGUACUACUGUGCUCUGCAGCCCACAGUGACAGGAAACACCAGAACUCUGAACAAGAACCUGCAGAGUGAAAACAGGACAAUAUUCUACAACCUCCACUAGAGGGCCUCAUGAAUCAGGCUGCAG